GGAAUCUUCCACAAUGGGCGCAAGCCUGAUGGAGCAACACCGCGUGAGUGAAGAAGGGUUUCGGCUCGUAAAGCUCUGUUGUUAGAGAAGAAUGUAUCUAAGAGUAACUGCUUAGGUAGUGACGGUAUCUAACCAGAAAGUCACGGCUAACUACGUUCCAGCAGCCGCGGUAAUACGUAGGUGGCAAGCGUUAUCCGGAUUUAUUGGGCGGAAAGCGAGCGCAGGCGGUUUGAUAAGUCUGAUGUGAAAGACUUUGGCUUAACCAAAGAAGUGCAGCGGAAACUGUCAGGCGUGAGUGCAGAAGAGGACAGUGGAACUCCAUGUGUAGCGGUGGAAUGCGUAGAUAUAUGGAAGAAAACCAGUGGCGAAGGCGGCUGUCUGGUCUGCAACUGACGCUGAGGCUCGAAAGCAUGGGUAGCGAACA
rnacentral:rRNA from 1 species